CCUACGGGAGGCAGCAGUGGGGAAUUUUGGACAAUGGGGGCAACCCUGAUCCAGCCAUGCCGCGUGUGUGAAGAAGGCCUUCGGGUUGUAAAGCACUUUCGGACGGAACGAAAUCGCACGGGUGAAUAUCCCGUGUGGAUGACGGUACUGUAAGAAGAAGCACCGGCUAACUACGUGCCAGCAGCCGCGGUAAUACGUAGGGUGCGAGCGUUAAUCGGAAUUACUGGGCGUAAAGCGUGCGCAGGCGGCUUUGCAAGUCAGACGUGAAAUCCCCGGGCUUAACCUGGGAAUGGCGUUUGAAACUACGGAGCUGGAGUGUGGCAGAGGGGGGUAGAAUUCCACGUGUAGCAGUGAAAUGCGUAGAUAUGUGGAGGAAUACCGAUGGCGAAGGCAGCCCCCUGGGCCAACACUGACGCUCAUGCACGAAAGCGUGGGGAGCAAACAGGAUUAGAUACCCUGGUAGUCCACGCCCUAAACUAUGUCAACUAGUUGUUGGGGGAGUUAAAUCCCUUAGUAACGCAGCUAACGCGUGAAGUUGACCGCCUGGGGAGUACGGUCGCAAGAUUAAAACUCAAAGGAAUUGACGG
rnacentral:rRNA from 1 species